rnacentral:rRNA from 1 species
UAGGGAAUAUUAGAAAUGGACGAAAGUCUGAUCUAGCAACACCGCGUGUGCGAUGAAGGCCUUCGGGUUGUAAAGCACUCUUUGGAAGGAUUAGGAAGGAAUGUACUUCCAGAAUAAGUCUCGGCUAACUACGUGCCAGCAGCCGCGGUAACACGUAGGAGGCGAACGUUAUCCGGAUUUACUGGGCGUAAAGCGCGUGUAGGUGGUUCUGUAAGUAGGGCGUGAAAGCUCCUGGCUCAACUGGGAGAGGCCGUUCUAAACUGCAGAGCUAGAGGAUGGUAGAGGGGGGUGGAAUUCCGGGUGUAGCGGUGGAAUGCGCAGAUAUCCGGAGGAACACCAGUGGCGAAGGCGGCCUCCUGGACCAUUCCUGACACUCAGACGCGAAAGCU